GAGAAAGAAGAAGAUGUGUAAGAAUGCGUGGUGGUGGUGUUGGGUAGUGGUGGUGGUGAUGGUGAUGGUGGUGGUGUUAGGGGAAGACAUAAUAGAGGAAGAGGCAGAAGGCAAAGAAUAAGAGUCCCUGAUGAAAUCAGAGCCACAAGUGUGGACCAUGUCAUAAACCAUGGUCUUACAAUGGAAGAGGCUGGUCGGCGAGUACAGCCUAAUGUAAACAGGUCCACAGCGUCAUCAAUUGUGCAAACAUUCUGUAGGGAAAAGAGGUGCCAUUUGAAAGGAAUAGUGACAGAGUAAAGGAGCUGCUUUACCAGUAUGUCCAGAGAACAAUGGAGCUGGAAGGACAUGAAAUGGUCCACAUUCUUUUUUUGUGUGGAAGAGACUCGGUUCAAUCUGGCCAAAUUGCAGGAGACGUGGCCACAAUCUCAUUGGACACCGAGCCACAAUUGACACACCAGGCCAACGUGGAGGCAAUAUUACAAUGUGUGCUGCCAUUUCUGAGAAUGGUGUGAGAACACAUAUUCCACACAUUGGGUCCUAUAACACCCAACUUCUCCUGGCCUUCCUAAAUACACUUUACAGAGAUGUAACUGUGUGGGAUAAUGUAAGCUUCCACCGAACCAACAUUGUUAGGGAAUGGUUUGCUGCACUUGAAAGGAUAACAAUGGACUUCCUUCCACCAUCCUCCCCAUUCCUGAAUCGGAAAGAAUUGUUUUUUUCAUCAUGGAGGUGGAAAGUAUAUGGCAUGGUCCACAAGAUCAGAUGUCUCUGUUAGAUGCCAUGAAUGCUGCUUGUGAGGACAUCACAGGCGAUCAUUGCAGGGGAUGGUUGUGCCACGCAAGGAGAUUUUCCCCCCGGUGCAUCGCAAGGGAAAACAUCAGAUGUGAUGUUAAUUAAAAUCUCUAGCCAGACCAACAAGAGCGACAGGAUGUCCAGCAAGAAGAUGGGAACUUGUAGUGUUACGUACUGUGAGGAGAUACAAUUUAUAGUUGUUUUACAGAAGUACCGCAGGUUUUUUCAUUGUUGUUAAAUUUUUUGCAUGGAUGUCAUUUUGCGGUAAUUUUUCUGUUCACUGUAUAUGACUUUACAUGUAAGAAAUAUGUAAAAAUGGACAGGCAAAUGUGAAUUUUCUGUUUACAUGUAACACAUUGCUACAAAACUAAAUGUACUGUAUACAUACAAAUGUGCAUAUCCCUUUUUUGUGUACUACAGUAUUGUACAGUAUUGACUUUUCCCAGUAAACUUUUCCCUACUGUUGAAAUCGGUAACUACAAAGCUCAGUGUGAUACACAAUAGCAUUCAGCUAGACACAACUGACAUUCUUGUACAGUGCAGUAAGUGUCAACAAAAAAAUAGAACAAAACUGAAAUUUGUAUAUAACAAACAUUUCCAGGGUUGACUGCCAUGGUGAAAAAACAUCUAAACAUUUUGAGCAGUACGGCUCACACGAUGACAAAAAAACAUUUCAUUUUGGUGGCAUUGGCCAAUUUACUGACACAAUAACUUGGUUUUGAAGUAUGAAUUAAAUGUUCUGGGUGAGUUACUACAUUUUGCAGACAUGCAAUAGAGUUGUGAUGUCCCAUAAAACAGUUGUGACAAUUGCACUUACAGUUUAGUUAAGACUGUUUUAAAAAAUGAGCCAAAGCGAUUGAGAAACUGUAACACUACCUACAUGUACAUAUUACCUCAAUUACCCUGACACCGGUGCACACGGACUCUUCACCGGUACACCCGGUACUUUCAUCUCAUACUUUUUUAGGGUAUUUUCUUAAAACUGCAUUGUUGGUUCAGGGCUUGUAAGUAAGCAUUUCACUGUAAGGUCAACACCUGUUGUAUUCGUCGCAUGUGACAUAACAUUUGAUUUGACUGGUCAUGCAUGCAUUCCUUGAAAGCAUCAACACCAACCAGUGGCUAAACGGGAUCUUUCUGAUUAGGGUCUGCGGAGCUACUGAAAUAACAAGAGCAGAUAAGAGAGAAACUUUACAACUGUUAACUCAAUAAGAGGUUGUCAAGCUGUUUAUACUUCAACAUGUCAUGCAUGCAUUCCUUGAAAGCGUUAAAACCAACCGGCGGCUAAACGGGAUCUUUUGACAAAUUCAGGAAUCCAAUUCCCAUUUAGGUCUCGUUAACUCCUUGAUGGCUGCUUUUUUUCUUUACUCCCUGAGAUAUAGAUGAACAAUACAUUUCAAUGUUGUAAACAGAAUGACACUGUGUGAUAAUCUGGUAGGCCUAACACUAGACAUCGCCAUCUGGGUCUCCAAUUCCUCAGCAAGUUCUCUUGCUUCUUGACGGCCAUCCAGCUCAGAUGAUGCUCUAUUCUCUGAAGCCAUUGUCUCCACUUCAUGAAAGGUAAAACAAAUAAAUACACAAAAUCUAAACAUAA